rnacentral:rRNA from 1 species
UCCUGCAGCCCAAGACUGGUUACUCACUGAAGCUAAGCAGAGCUGAGUCUGGUCAGUACCUAGAUGGGAGACCACAUGGGAAAACUAGGUUGCUGCUGGAA